CCUUUACUCUCUCUAGUUGCUAUAGGUCUCCUUCAGCAGAAAGGAGCCAUCCCUCUCAGUGUCCUGUUAGAGCGUACCAGUGAUCACAGACCACGCUGAGGUCUCCUCAACCUACUUCCCUUUGUUCCUGCUCUUCACCUGGUUCACGGGGCCCACACCACCCCCCACCUCUGCUCUGUGUGGGGUGGGGAGGGCAGGUUUCUGCAAAGUACAGCUCCCUUCCACAAGCCCCCCUCGCUCCACCUACCCACUGAGUCAGGAGCCAGGAAUGUCUGUGGGGGCAGCAGACAAGUAUGCCACCCUGGGGGUGUCCCGGGCUGAUUCAUCUCUCCUUUCCACCCAAUCUUCUCCUUACAGGGCUAGGAAAUUGAAGUCUGUCUGGAGAUAAGAGAGCAACCCUGGACUCUGGGAAGAGGAGUUCUUAAACCUAGCCGUGUGAACACUGGAGGACCGAGAUAUUGGAAGAGCGGCUCCAUCCAGAGGCUCUAAACAAAGACCCCAGCACCCACAGUAAAAGCCUGUGAGCUGUCAUCCCAGGGCUGUGGGCAGAGAGGAGGUCCUUGGAGCUUGCUGGUUAGUCAGCAGAAUCAGUGUACCCCUGGACAGUGAGAGACCCUGUUUUGACGGCUGGCAAGAUGGGUUAAUGGCCAAAGGCACCUGCUGCCGAGCCUGACCACCUGAGUCCCAUCACUGUGACUCCACCGGGUGGAGAAAGCUGACUUCUGUUAAGUUGGCCUCUGGCCUCCACCUUUGCUAAGUGCUCGUGUGCAUGCAUGGGCAAGCACGUGAAGGCACACACACACACACACACACACACACACA